rnacentral:rRNA from 1 species
UGAGGUUAAGCGACUAAGCGUACACGGUGGAUGCCCUGGCAGUCAGAGGCGAUGAAGGACGUGCUAAUCUGCGAUAAGCGUCGGUAAGGUGAUAUGAACCGUUAUAACCGGCGAUUUCCGAAUGGGGAAACCCAGUGUGAUUCAUCACACUAUCAUUACGUGAAUACAUAGCGUAAUGAAGCGAACCGGGGGAACUGAAACAUCUAAGUACCCCGAGGAAAAGAAAUCAACCGAGAUUCCCCCAGUAGCGGCGAGCGAACGGGGAGCAGCCCAGAGUCUGAAUCAGCAUGUGUGGUAGUGGAACGGUCUGGAAAGUCCGACGGUACAGGGUGAUAGUCCCGUACACAAAAGUGCAUGUGUUGUGAACUCGAAGAGUAGGGCGGGACACGUGGUAUCCUGUCUGAAUAUGGGGGGACCAUCCUCCAAGGCUAAAUACUCCUGACUGACCGAUAGUGAACCAGUACCGUGAGGGAAAGGCGAAAGAAACCCCGGCGAGGGGAGUGAAAAAGAACCUGAAACCGUGUACGUACAAGCAGUGGGAGCCUCUUUAUGGGGUGACUGCGUACCUUUUGUAUAAUGGGUCAGCGACUUAUAUUCUGUAGCAAGGUUAACCGAAUAGGGGAGCCGAAGGGAAACCGAGUCUUAACUGGGCGUUAAGUU